rnacentral:rRNA from 1 species
AUGCAGGAGUUCCGGGCAAUGUCGCAGCAGUUCGAGGCGGGAGCUCGUCAGGAAGUGCAGAGGCUCAAGGCCUCUAUGUCUCAACUGCAGGCAGCCCUGCACGAGUUGUAGAGCAUCGGGUUGCACUCGGACGACGCCGGAAUCGGGACUACAGAAGCCAGGAAGGUCGGCCUCAUUGUUAAGAAGGCGAAGCUGGACGCGACCCUGGCUGCAGCCCGCCCGUUGAGAGCACCGCUUCGGCAGCAGCUCCAGAAAGCCUUCGCAUCAUAGGUUAGGGAUCAAAAAGCAGCACAUGACUGA